ACCGUUGAUCUGAGAUUCCGAUCUCAACUGGGUCUGCGCCACGUGGCGCCGAAUGAUAUGGCAAUUUUCGGACUCAAUCAGAAGCAAAAACUGAGGGAAGUAGGUAAUAAUACGACGUCGUUUCCGAGGUUGAUGAAGAGAAAUUGAAUGGGGGGUGUAGAGUUACGGGUGAUGUCACGUGUGAUACCACGUUGUGGAUCUUAGAAAGUUAGAAUCACUGGGGGGUUACCGUGCAUUCCCUCUCACAGCUCGAUGUUACCUUUUGACCGGAGGUUGAAAUUUCAACUUAAAAUUAUGGA